UUAAAAUUUUCCUUUUUUAAUUUUACUUUCCCAAAUUUUCUCUUUUCCCCUGAAUUUUGUAAAAAAUUCCUAUCUUUCCCCAUGUUUCUCUUCUCGAUCACAAGCCCCCAUGUCUCUUCCGUCUGCUCGAUCGCAAGCCCCCGUUCAUCGUGAGCCGCCGCUGAAGACGUUACGUUCGUUCGCUGCUAAAGACGUUGUGUUCGUCCGCCGCUGAAGAUUUGGUGUGUUCGUCCGCCGUCGUUCAGAACAGGUUCGUCCGCCACCGUUCACAGUAUUGGAAUCUGGAAACCAUUGUGCUUCUGUUGAUGAGUCUUUGGCUAUACAGGCAAGGGUUUCUCAAUCCCACUUUUUCAUUAUCAUUUUAUUAGGCUUUCCAUCGCUUUCCUACCUUCUGUGAUUGUGGAGCCUCUUACAUUUCCUUUUCCCUGCUUUUUACUAAAAGGGGGACAAAGUUGUCCUAUUAGUUGUUAAAGAAGAGGAGAGAGUCGCAACCACUAUCUCUAUUAUGAGAAUAUAUUCCAGAAUCCAAGGAUAAACCUUGGAGCCCACGUAGCGGUGAGGGACGAGAUAGCUUUAUCACCAAGGCCUUCUUCCAUUUCUGGAGUUUCUUUCUUUAUGAGCAUGAGAUGCACUUUUUUUUUUUGGACUUAUAUGCUUAAGACCACUGCUCUCUGGAUCACCACGGAUAAAAAAGAAGAAGAAUUAGGCCUUCACCUCGAGCAUCCUUGCUUUCCUUUUCCUCCUUCUUUGAAUCGCAAGUGGGAAGGUAGGUGGAAGGGAGUCGGAAGUUUUCUUCUCAACCCCACGAGGUGCCCCAAACUCAGGCCUUUUGAUCUCGAUGAAAUUGAGGACUAGCAUAUUUUUCAUCUCUUUGCUCACCGGUCAUAAAAUUGCAGAGGAAUUCCCGGGAGAUUGAGUCAUAUUUAAAUGAGCGCUCUAUAUAUCUUGUUGGAAUGAUGGCUUCGGAAAAACAAUUGUGGGAAAAGUCUUGUCAAAUGCACUUGGUUACUCCUUUUCUAAUAGAUUGAUAUAAGGAGCUCAUACUAAUUCGAGUUGGAUGAAGCGCGGAUGGAGCGUGCUGAUUUUUUGGGUAGCCACAUGUAAUUAUGGUCAUAGUUAAGUUCUUUUGGGUUAGAUAGACAAGUUUUGUUGAUACUGAUAUUUUGUUGACACUGGAUAUAGGUGAACUAGUUUUGUUCAUAUUUUGUUGAUACUAGAUAUAGGUGAGAAAGACAAGUUUUGAUAUGGUACACUUUUAGGCUACACAUAUAUUGUGUUUAUAUUGACAUAGAUGGAAAGCUUAGGCUCUUGUUAGAAGUUUGGGCUGCACAUAUAUAUAUCUUGUAAUUAAGUAUGUAAUGACCAACUUAUAUAUGUAUGGUUCAUUGAUAUAUAUAUAUAUACAAUUUCUUCGAUGGAAA